GUAGAGUGCCUAUCAUGUAAAGUGAGUAUGGAACAUUCUGCUGUGCUUGAUAAAAUCACUUUGAUAAAGAUCAUCAGCCCUCUUAUUACACAUUUGUUGACUGAAUUCAUAGAAUGAACAAUCAGGUUUAAAGUGUUUUAUGGAUUACCAUUUCCUAUCCGCAUAGUUUUUGCUAUGGCUCUUAUUUAAUGUAUUGUUCCUUGCAGUGCUUAGGGAGAUAGGAGUGAAAUUUGAAAAGGCUAUUUUUGUAUCUUUGGUUCAGUGUGUUUGAGAGUUUCCUCAUUGAUAGUUAAAAAGUGUGACAUUUACUUAGCUUGAAGUUAUAAAGGUUAGCCCACAUAAAUUUCCUAAUCCAUGAAAUGAGGGGAGCUAGUCUGGAUUUCCUAUAACCUAUGGGCUGUUAUUAAAUAGCAGCUGAUACACGCAGCUGGCAGUAAAACUUUUCUCUAUUGAGUCAGAUACUAAUGAUUCAUCUGUGUUUAAAUACACAAACACAGAACUGUGGGGUUAUUUUUUCAGUGUCAAAAAUUCAAGAACAGAAGCUAAUAUGAGAACACAGGUUCUUACACUCCUUUCUGAACUUCCUAGGAAAAUGGCUCCUUAAAAAAUGGGGAGAGGAAACAAAUACCACUGAAGAGAGUGGAGAAGGAUAAGAAAUGCCCGUAGAUUCUGAGCAGACAAUGCUGUGGAAAGCAGAGUUCCCAGGUGAUCUUAGAUCUUGGAAAUGGGCCAUAGUGCAGACAGGGUUUCCAUGACUGUGGAGAAACUGACUCCAUUGGCUUGACAUUCUCUUGAAUCGUCUUUCCUGUCCUAGGGAUGUAUUGCAAAUCUGAAAGAACCCUGGGUUCCUAUAAAAGAGCAUUGCUAAUUGUACCAAAAUAAAUGACGUUUUCCAGAUGGAGAGAUGAAAAAAUCUGAGAAUAGAUGUACUAAAACUUCUUAGAAUCAUAUAGUAUAGAAGCUAAAGCACCAUGGUGUUGAGGAAUAUUUCAGAUCCCAAGAGUCUAUCCUUUUGCUUUCCUGAUAUACCAGUUUAUGUCUCAAUGCUGACUAAAAAUCAGAAUCACCUGGGAAGAUUUACACCCUGAGCCCUAUCCUGCACCAGUUAAAUCAUAAUCUCUUCAUGGCUGGUCCAAAUAUUAGAUUUUUUUAAAAUUACACAGGAGAGGGGACUGUACUUAGUAUUUUGUAGUUACUCAUAAGGGAAAAUAAUCUGAAAAAAAUAGAUAUAAUUUUGUAUAAUAUGUAUAAUUGAAUCACUUUUAUGUACUCCUGAAACUAACACAGCAUUGUAAAUCAACUAUACUUUGACAAAAAAUUUAAAAAAUAAUAAAAUAAAAUUACCCGGAUGAUUCUAGGAUACCAGCAUACUAAGAACCACUAAAUAAUAAUAUAUAGAAAAUGAUACACCUUAUAUUACUUCAUUCAAAUUAUAGUAGCAUGAAAUUAGUGCUUAUGGAAUCUGUUUACCUUUUCUUUUUAAGCUAGAGACAGAACUGUACUUAGAAGUCUAUAUUUUAAAGAUUUUAUGGGGAGCAUUAAAGUCUUGUUUUGGUUACUACAGCAUUAAAAAAGGUAAUUAAUUCCUGAGCUAGAGAUCUAUUUAAGGUAAGUUUCAAGUGGGGAGUGUAUGUCUUCCAUGUUUUGCCUUACCUCUCAGUUCCUGUAUUUUACUGCAUCAGUAUCUAUUGUAAAAAGUGAAAAGUAAAAUUUGCUAUUAAAUUGUGACAGACCAAAAGUUGAAUUGCAUGCAUUUUAAGAAUAUUGCUUUAGUAUCAGUAGUGUGCAAGAUAUCAGUAGUGUACAAAAUAUCAGUAGUUCUAAACUGAUUAUGAAUAUAGAAUGUUAUUCUAAUUUUAUGACAGUAAUUCAUACCUAUUAAUUAUUCAGAUUUGCUGAUGGUGCAUUUAUGCUAAAGUAUCAAAUAUAAUAUUCUGACAUUGCCAGAAAUCUUAUAUUCUUCUUGGCCUCCCUGAAAUUCUACUUUCUAUAAGACUUGUUGAUUAAUUAUAACAAACUCAUAUAUAUCUUGGUAUUUUCCAUAUGUGCUUUAAACAUACUUUAAAUGUCUGUUUAUUUAUUCCAUUUUUUAUGCAAAGGAAGUAGAAGUCAAUUUCAGUGUUAAGAAAAAUAAUAGUCUUCAUAAUCUCUAUUCAUUAUGAUCAUCUUAUGUUCUUGACACUAACUUUAACAAACUCAGUUUUUCUUUCUUUCUUUCUUUUUUUUUUCCUAAUUUUAUGGCCCCAUCUGGAGCAUAUGAAAGUUUCCAGGCCAGGGAUUGAGUUUGAGCUGCAGCUGUGACCUCUGUAGCACCUGUGGUAACCUUGAAUCAUUUAACCAACUGUGCUGGGCCAGGGAUCAAACCAGCCUCUUCAGUGACCUGAGCUGCUGCAGUCAGAUUCUUAAUCCACAGAACCACAGUGGGAACUCCCAGUUUUUCUUUAUUCCUUUGUUUUUAUGCUCUUUGACUAAGGAAGUAAAAGCUGUUGUUGACAUCCAGGAUAUAAGCUAACAAUAAGAAUAUGCAAGCAUUGAAAGUAUUCAAAUUCUGUAUUAAUCAUUAAAGAUAGCAACACAUAAAUAAUUUGCAGUGCUUUUCUCUGAUCCUAUGGUAAUUACACUUAGAAAUAAAGAACGCCAGUUAAAUUGAACUGGAGUCUAUCAUAGGAUGAUGUGGAUAGAAAAAAUUAUAAAAUAUUUCAGACUAAAAAAAUUAUCAAAUAUUCCAACAGAGAUAAAUCUUGGUGUGUUACUAAUUGCUUAAUGCAUAACAGAAUGGGAAUCUUUGAAAAUGACUUUUAUUCAAAAAUUCACAUUGUAUCUCUUGUCAUUCCCCUUUAAGAGUUAUUUAGCAAAGUUUAGAGAGAGGGAAUAUGAUGAAAAUGGGUAUAAAAAUGGCUCCAAUCUUAGGAGUGAUCCCUACAGAAUAAAAAGACAAGAGGUCAUUUUUAUAUUCAUGAAAAUCAAACUGAUAAUGCUUGUAAUUAUCACUCAGAGAGCAGCUUGGAAGAAGGAUUUCUUUAAUUUGAUUCUGGAACACCUUUAGACUCUUUUGGUUUCUGAGAUUGUUGAUAUUGGUGAACUUGUCAUCCCCAUGCCUCCCAAAGUGAUGACAUUCUGAUAUUCUUGCUUCAUGUUUGUAUCAGUUCCUAAAGAGGAAACUUGCAGCUUGGCUUAGGAAACAUAGUAUUUGCCCUCUCUGCUUGGAAUCUGGUGUGAGUGGCACUGUGUUUGGGCUGUAGACCUUCUGCAUCCUCUGGCUGGGAGAUAGCUAUCAAAAAGUCACAUCAUUAUUAUAGGUGCUAAUGUGCAAGCAUUCAAGCCGGCUCAGCAAAUGCUGGAAAUAGAACUUGCUCUUAGAUUCCUUGAGUGUGUUCUUACAUUAAACACACACACACACAUACACAAAGGUGAUUUUUUUUUAAGUUGUCUAUCCACCAUACCAUGCCACUCUACCAGAUGUUUGAAAAAAGUCAUUUGGGAUUUUCAGGGAUCUCUAUACAGAGAAUUGAGUGCUUUGAAAGAGAGGGCAAUGGAGAGAAAGUUACAUGUACUAAACAACCAUUAUUUGCAAUGUUAGGUGUUUUAUUUUGUUUUCUUUUUUUUUGUUUCUUUAACAUUUAUUUCAUAAGAGAAAAAUGGAUGGAAUUCAAGCAUCUAUGGCAAAAUAUCAGCUCCAGUAAAGCUGGUUGGUUCUUGUAUUUUUUUUAUACUACUAUUUAUGUUUGACCCUUGCUUUUAAUUUAAAAAAAAAAAGAUUCAAAGUAAUUUAAAAAUAACGUUGGGUAUCCUAUAUACACUAUUUUAUUUAAUCUUUAUAACAACACUUGUCAAAGAAAAAUAGCUCUGACAGGUUAAAUAGUCUAGGAUGACUUUAUUCAAGAUUACUGAAGUAAGGGAGAAAGACUCAGCUGAAACAAGUCAGGAGCAUUUUUAGCUGUAAUAAGCUAGUGAGCAGAACCUUCAUUGGGGGAGUUUGGGUCCAUGUGUUGAAGGUUCUCUCCUCUCUGUCUCCUACUCUUGCUCAGAGAUAGGGAGAUAUGGGCAGGUGUGCUACAGUCCUUGAUGAUUACACUUCAAAAAAAGAUGGCUCCAUGUGGAGAGGGGCAUUCCUGCAUUUUAAAACUAGCAAGAGGUUAAGAAAAGAUUGACAUUUCAAAGGGCAGCAAGAGAAUGUAUAACAAAGUUUUCUAAAGUAAACUAAGAAAAGGAAGGUCAGAGGCUGAUAGGAAGAAGCCUGCUUAAAGCUGAGUUUAGCUCUCUUCCCAUUUAAGGGGGGGCAUUUAUUUCCUUGUUACUAAGACACCAAGGCUUAGAGAGGUUAAGUUUAUUUAUUCUAGGUUUCCUGGUAUUAAGUGACAGAGUUGACCAUAAUUGACCAUAACCUGACCAUAAUUCUGCUCCAAAACCUGUGAACUUUCCAGUACGCUUCGGCCUUGCAAAAAUCCCAGGCAAGAGGACAACACCAGCCACAGAAGACGUUUCCAAGACUCCUUCAAGUUGGAAGGAAUACCUUUAUUUGGAGGCAUGUCAGUUCAUUUUUCUCACUUCAGAUUCAUCAUUAUGACUUCUUGAGGCCAGAUCUAAUUUUGAAGUAACAAGGAACCCGUCUAUCUUGGAGCAGCAAACCCUUCAACUCUGGAGCACAAAUGACCACUGAUAGGGUCCACAUAAAACCAUCUGCCUCCAGACUAACAGCCAGGAGCAGAGCCAUGGGGGCAAAAAAGCCACAGCCUUAAAUCUCUUCACUCAGAAAUUACGAAGAAGAUUAAAAAAAAAAGAAAAAAAAAAAA
rnacentral:lncRNA from 1 species